rnacentral:misc_RNA from 1 species
UUCCCGCGAUCCUUUCUACUUGUCCAAUAUUGAAACGAAAUACCGUUCUUUCUUGCUACAGGGUAGAUACAAAAUAAGUAUUUUAACAUCAUUAUUGACUGACAUGGUUACGACUCUCGUUGCUAUAAUAACUAGAAUGCGAUGUGCAUUUAAUCAAUUGAUAGUGAAUAAUAGUGAUAAUUCCCUCGUGUACAUGAUGUGAUGUGACGUUCAAUAUUCAAUAUUGUAAUCUACAAAAGGUUAAAAAACGCUGGAAAAAUGGGUCGAGCGAAAGCUUAUAAAGUGACACAGGUGGAAACAUAUAUCACGCGUGACAGAAUAACUCGAUAUCGUGAUAUUUUGAAGUUACAUGCGCGCGAUAAGAAGCUGCAACUGUCGCAAGCUAUGAAAUUGAAGUUGACAGUGUUAAGGAAGCUGGUGUCCUUGCAGAUGAAUGUUAGGAACCAUCGUAAGAUCAUCAAGCAUUUAUCUGAAGGUGAUAAAUCACAAUUACUGAGAGAUCGCAGGGAAUUUUAUUUGGCAUUUAAUCAACUGCAACUAUCCGAAAUUUAUGAGGUUAUAUAUCAACAUAAUGAUAUGAAACGUCGAUUCUUGGACAAGCUAUAUUAUGAGAAAAAGAAGAAACUGAAACAUGCUAUCGAAUUACAGCUGAAAUGCAGCGAUUUUUCAAAUGAAUGCAAAGAAGAAAACUGUGAUCGACCACAUUGCGAACAACAACAAUUGGUAGCAGAGUUGCAACGAUCCAUAUCGAAAUAUAACGCGGCGAAAGCGAUAUACUCCAUAUAUUUAUCAAUGUUGAAUAACUUAAAAAAGGAUGCAAUGUUCUUUGAUACUUUGUUGAGCAUGUUGGAAGAAGACCAGUUUUCACAGUGUAAAGCUAUGUUGACGGUAACAGUGAUAGGUCAAUUAGCAACGGAGAAUUUAGACGACAUCAGACAAAAAUAUAAAAAAAUGACUAACGUCAUUUUACGUAAUAUGAGGUUCAGAGAACAAACAUUAAAUAGUGUACGUUGUCAAGUGCAAGACUUGUGGGCUUAUGCGCUAUCUUUAGUGCGCGUUGAGAGUGAUACUGCAUUCGUAAAAAAAGAUACCGAUGAAUCGUCCACCAAUGAAAUACUGGAAAAACAAUUAGUACAUUUAGAAAACAUCUGCGAUCAAGUGAAAGAAAUCCUCCUCGUACGUUCUUAUCACGAUUUGUUAUCGAGAUUUGAAAAUCAAUUCAAGCAAAAGACGGAUCUACUAACGAAAUUAAGCACUAAUAUAAAAAAUCGCGAUUCUUUGUUGAGUAAAACGAAUCAUGCUAUACAAAUUCUUGAGGGCCUCAAGCAUUCUAAAACCAUAGCUGAACAAUAUAAAGCAGAUGGAUGUGAAAUAAUGGAACAAAUCGAGAUCGAGGAAAAGCGUGAAAGAAAUUUAAAAGAAUUAAAGAAAAUUCGCGGUGAAUUAUUCAUGAACAUUAGAACUGCUUUGCAAAGUAUGAAUAUGAUGUUAUUCUGUAUUAGACAACCUGGUAAAGGUACGAAAAAGACUGGGAAAGAUGUGGGCAAGGAUAUAUUGAAGGAGUUUGACGAUAAGGAAGACGCGGAUGAACUUGAAUCGUUAGCUGAACUCAAAAAAGUGGACAUUGAUGGCAACUAUAAUUAUUAAUUAGAUAAUUAGUAUACAUAAUUUUUUAUUGAAAUAUCAAUAGGACGAAUUAAACUAUUACAUCAUUAUUUGUAAUUUUACAGUUUUAGUGCUUUUAGCAAAAAUCACCCGAAAGAUAAGUAUCCUUUUUAACAUGACUAAUUUCGACCUCGAGCAAGAGAAAGAGAACAAAGCACGGAACCUCUAUCAAAUUUAUGUGUCAAAUUAUAAUUCUGAUUUGAUAUUCAAAAAUAGUGAAGAGGAACAAAUAGGAUUAUUAGUUGAACAUAAAAUGGUUGAUACUACUGUUCCAACA